ACAGACUACUUGUCCUACAUUUAGUCCUGCUUACCAAAUAGUGUCCUCUGGGGCGUGCGAAAUGCAGGAGGGAAAUUCGGUGGAACGCAGCGACUCGAACACAUCCGUUGGCAUCUCUUCUGCUGCCUGAUCAGGGCUGCGUCAAUUGUCAUUUGUAUUCCGUGAGGAGAUCUUCCAGAAAUGGAGAUUAUCAUGUCUGCCAUCAGAAAGAGUUAAGUCGAGAUUCGACAUGGGAUUCAAGGCAGCGGGCAUUGAAAAUCGCGUUGACGAAGUUACGGCGGUGGUCAGUGGUGCGCUAACAACGGGUUUGCACGAGUCGCUUGGCUUGGCGUCUUUUGAAGACUCCAAGGCUCUGGUUGAGUGCAAUUGUGGGACCGAAGGGCAAUUUUACUAUUGCCCUGUGGAACGCGAUACCGAUUACUGGUGGCUGU
rnacentral:RNase_P_RNA from 2 species